rnacentral:rRNA from 1 species
UACGUAGGGGGCAAGCGUUGUCCGGAAUCAUUGGGCGUAAAGCGCGUGUAGGCGGCCUUGUAAGUCCGUUCUGAAAGCCCGGGGCUCAACCCCGGGAGGCGGAUGGAUACUGCAGGGCUCGAGUACGGAAGAGGCGAGUGGAAUUCCCGGUGUAGCGGUGGAAUGCGUAGAGAUCCGGAAGAACACCGGUGGCGAAGGCGGUCUGCUGGGCAGUUGCUGACACUGAGGCGCGACAGCGUGGGGAGCAAACAGG